CACCAGCUCCGUGUUGGCAUUAAUUGUCAUCAGAGGGAGGUUCAGCACCUGCUGGUUUGACCCGUGGCUCCAGCUGAAGGAGCCUGGGUCGGGCAGUUACCGUCCUGCUGCUGCCUCACCAGGGUUUACGGAGCUCUGCUCAGACUCUUAAAUAAGCUUCUGCAAAGAAAACAGAAAAGGCCUCCUAGUUCAUUCAGUCAAUCGCCCUUCAGAGCUGCAAUUAAUGAUUUUAAUGCAGUGGUGGAAGCUGGCAGUUCUGCUAAAUAUUACUGAGCUGCCUACAAAUAUUGCAAGAUGUUUCCUGCUUUUAAAUGAAGUCUGAAAAAAUCAGAGAACUCGUUUCCACUCUGGCCCUUAUACUGAGAAAACAUAAAUUACUGGCUGAAAGAGAUGGGCAAACAUGUCAACCUUUGCGCUUAACUUAAGGCUUUUUUAGUUUGAAAUGUGAAUUUGAUUCCAAAUCAAGUCAACCACAAGGUAAUACCAGAAACUGCCUUUAACUAAAUAAUUGAACCCUUUAUCCCCGCUAUUGGGAUUUCUGUAGUGAUUAAUAUUCACGUCAGAAACUUGUGAUACGCCUUUUUGGUUCUAAAUAUCACUGACAUUAUGCGAAAGCAAGUUGUAACACACCUUUUUGGGGGUAACACAGUAUCUCCCCUUCUUUCCUGUGUAUCAAUCUUGAAGAUAAAAUACUUCUUGUAAUUGUAAGAGACACUUUAAUAUUGUUAUAAUAACUGAAUUAAAUUGGUUUUCAGUGGCGAUAUAUUCUGCCUGCCUUGAGCUGGCAAGAAGCACAUGCACCGUGCGAUAAAAUGUGUUUAUGCCAGAAGCUUUUUUUUAUGAUACAGCGCCAGUUACCUGUUGUGAUUUAAGCAGUGUGAUUAAA